GCCGACUUAGCUCAGUUGGUAGAGCAUCGCUCUUGUAAAGCGGAGGUCGAAGGUUCGAACCCUUUAGUCGGCA
rfam:Weissella koreensis KACC 15510, complete genome.